GCCUUUAUAGCUCAGUUGGUAGAGCGCAUCCAUGGUAAGGAUGAGGUCAUCGGUUCGAUUCUGAUUAAAGGCUCCA
rnacentral:tRNA from 1 species